rnacentral:rRNA from 1 species
CUCAAGCUCCAGCCAUAUGUCCAAUCCAUGGUGGCUAACCACCUGUGCCCCAAGCUGGCGUACAAAUUCUUCGAUCCCUUCACCAUCCAGCAACGUGUGAGCACCAUGGCGUACAAACUGGCACUACCACCAGGAAGCCGCAUCCACCCGGUGUUCCAUGUCUCCCAGCUGAAGCCCUUCACGCCGGACUACACACCUGUCUUCGCCGAGCUGCCGCGUGCUCCUGACCUCUCUGCCGCACCUCUACAGCCGGUGGCAAUCUUGGAUCGACGCAUGGUCAAGAAAGGGAUCACAUCCAUCAUACAAGUCUGUGUCCAAUGGUCGUCUCUAUCACUAGACUCCGCUACAUGGGACGACUACACAGUGCUGCGUCACUGGUACCCGACGGCUCCUUGCUGGGAUGAUGUUGCUUCCGCUCGAGGAGGGGAGCAUGUCACACCUGAUGCUACUACAUCAGUGGACUGA